rfam:Acidibacillus ferrooxidans strain ITV001 contig0037, whole genome shotgun sequence.
AAAAUCCUGCCUGUUAUUAUUUAAGCUAAGUCACCAGUAGCGAGUCUUGGGUUCGCAGGAGCAAUUUUGCGAACUAAGCGUAGAUAGCAAGCAAGGUAAUAGGCCUGAACGUUAUUGAUCCUCGAAAUGAGUACAAUGGGAAGAUUGACGGUUUCGAAACUCUGGAUGACCACAUUUUGCUGGCCUAUCUGUUUGAGCAAGAGAAGCAAGUGUUGUACCCCGCCUCAGUUGU